UUCAUCUCUAAAAUCAGCCUUUAAUAUAAGCUGUCAGCUGCAUAUGCACAUUAUGUUCUUACUAACUAGCUAGCUUUCUGGAAUCCGACGUCAAACUGCUGAUGAUGAUGUUGAUGAUGGGUUCUGCCGGUUGAGGCUAACGGCUAGCUAGAUACCGUUGUACCGUUGUACAACUUAUAAAAGCACAGACACUAAACAUUACACGGAAUGGAUAUAACGAGCUCUUUCUCCUGCAUGAACCAUUCACACUGGUUGGGUGAAUAGUUCUAAGAUAAUUUGUCAUUUGUACACACUGAAUUUGAAUAUCA